rnacentral:rRNA from 1 species
GCAGAACGCGAAGAACCUUACCAAGGCUUGACAUACACCAGAACACUCUAGAAAUAGGGGACUCUUUGGACACUGGUGAACAGGUGGUGCAUGGUUGUCGUCAGCUCGUGUCGUGAGAUGUUGGGUUAAGUCCCGCAACGAGCGCAACCCUCGUUCUAUGUUGCCAGCACGUAAUGGGUGGGGAACUCAGUGGGAUACUGCCGGGGUCAACUCGGAGGAAGGUCGGGGAUGACGUCAAAUCAUCAUGCCCCUUAUGUCUUGGGCUUCACGCAUGCUACAAUGGCCGGUACAAAGGGCUGCAAUACCGUGAGGUGGAGCGAAUCCCAAAAAGCCGGUCCCAGUUCGGAUUGAGGUCUGCAACUCGACCUCAUGAAGUCGGAGUCGCUAGUAAUCGCAGAUCAGCAACGCUGCGGUGAAUACGUUCCCGGGUCUUGUACACACCG